rnacentral:lncRNA from 1 species
UGCUAAUUAAUGUUGCUUUUGUUUACCCGAAAAAAAAAUGUUGCUUUUGUUUCUUCUGAAGUGACGUAUGUUUGCCGAUGCCUUGAGUGUAAUAAGACAUUAUGCAUCUUUCCGUCAUAAUGUCGGCCAUGUGUAAAGAAACAUAUCUGAAGUUUUUAUUUUACAGUUGCUAUUCAGGAAAAAUAAUUGUGUGUGGUUGCUGAGAUGUUGUUUUCUUAGGUGUCCUCCUGACCUAUGUUGUGGCAAGCUUUUAGCUAAUGCUUUGCCGAGAAAAGAUUUUCUGGAAAAGGAUUUUGUCCACCGGAAGCCUUAUUACUGUGUGAUUGAGAUCACCUUUAUCCUUUGUUGACAUAUUGUUUGUAUUGGCAUAUCUUGGCUUAGAGCACAAGUCUGAUAAUUUUGUAAAUUAGAAAGCCUGAUACACAUAUAUAACAUAUCUGUCUAUUUACUGGUUUGGAGGUCCAAUUAUUACCUUUGACAGAUGACUUGGUGGUAGGUUGAGACGGGAGGGGUCAGAAACAGCCAACCUCCAUUUUCAGAUCUCAGCAAUGGAACAAUGCUAACACUACUUUCACCUACCCCACAGCUGUACAGAGUGCUACAUUUACCAUGACUAGCAAGAUGCCCGUGCAUUGCACGGAGCGUCAAGAUGCAUUUUUUUUUUAUAAAACACAUGUUGUGAUUGACCCAUGCGGAAGUAAUCCCAUGUGUAAAAACUAAUGAUAUCUCGAGAAAGAGAAGAGAUAGGGUGAGGAGGAGUGUAAAAACCCAUGCGGCCACCAUGCCAGAUUGUUCCAGAGGUUUCCUUUUUUAAUUGCUCAACAAUGAGGUUGUGGGAGAUAAGGAUGAACAAGGGAAGGCCUUAUCUGCAAAUGUGGAGAGAGGUGCAGGUAUCUUUUUGCAAAAUUGCCAUAGUUUGCUUUCUAUCCGUCAGAUAUAGAUCAAACGGUCUAUCUUGCAAGAUGGCAGGCACACCAUCAUCACCAACUCGGUUUUUUAUAAGAGUAGAGACAAGCAUAUGGCACCAUGCAUAAACGAAAUGUAGGUCACCACAACAAUUAUAGU